rnacentral:rRNA from 1 species
AUUGAACGCUGGCGGCAGGCCUAACACAUGCAAGUCGAGCGGAUGAAGGGAGCUUGCUCCUGGAUUCAGCGGCGGACGGGUGAGUAAUGCCUAGGAAUCUGCCUGGUAGUGGGGGAUAACGUCCGGAAACGGGCGCUAAUACCGCAUACGUCCUGAGGGAGAAAGUGGGGGAUCUUCGGACCUCACGCUAUCAGAUGAGCCUAGGUCGGAUUAGCUAGUUGGUGGGGUAAAGGCCUACCAAGGCGACGAUCCGUAACUGGUCUGAGAGGAUGAUCAGUCACACUGGAACUGAGACACGGUCCAGACUCCUACGGGAGGCAGCAGUGGGGAAUAUUGGACAAGGGGCGAAAGCCUGAUCCAGCCAUGCCGCGUGUGUGAAGAAGGUCUUCGGAUUGUAAAGCACUUUAAGUUGGGAGGAAGGGCAGUAAGUUAAUACCUUGCUGUUUUGACGGUACCAACAGAAUAAGCACCGGCUAACUUCGUG